rnacentral:rRNA from 1 species
GAUGAACGCUGGCGGCGUGCCUAAUACAUGCAAGUCGAGCGAACAGACGAGGAGCUUGCUCCUCUGACGUUAGCGGCGGACGGGUGAGUAACACGUGGAUAACCUACCUAUAAGACUGGGAUAACUUCGGGAAACCGGAGCUAAUACCGGACAAUAUAUUGAACCGCAUGGGUCAAUAGUGAAAGACGGUUUUGCUGUCACUUAUAGAUGGAUCCGCGCCGCAUUAGCUAGUUGGUAAGGUAACGGCUUACCAAGGCAACGAUGCGUAGCCGACCUGAGAGGGUGAUCGGCCACACUGGAACUGAGACACGGUCCAGACUCCUACGGGAGGCAGCAGUAGGGAAUCUUCCGCAAUGGGCGAAAGCCUGACGGAGCAACGCCGCGUGAGUGAUGAAGGUCUUCGGAUCGUAAAACUCUGUUAUUAGGGAAGAACAAAUGUGUAAGUAACUAUGCACGUCUUGACGGUACCUAAUCAGAAAGCCACGGCUAACUACGUG